GUUCAAUCGCCAUGGAGUCAAAGUUCUUACAGUCUUUCGGUAUACGAAUGACUCCAUUGGAAGGCUAUCUGGGUUAAGUCUUUUCGUAUGCUCUCAAUCUCCCGAACAGCCGGUGUUCGCAUGCUUUCGUGGAGGCAGCCAGGCGUUCCGUUGUUUCAGCGGUGUUCGGCAGAAAAAGUGUCCGUUUUCAGUUCCAUAGAAAUAGAGCCAAACACCGCUGAGCAUUCGCAUGAUUUAAAAUGGCCGCUACCUCGUGGUCGACAUACGAACGACGACCACCCUGAAUUCGGCUUAAUUGAGAAGUGUCUGCGGUUAACCACAACGUUCUAAUUGGGAUCACUUCGUUAACCUGCAGCACACUCCUCACUUGGGUGGCCGUUCGUUCGGCAGUUUUGUUCGGGAAAAAGAGUCAUUCGAAUGGCUGGGCUAUAGAAACCAGCCAUUCAUACGAACGGAGGACAAACAGACGAACGUAGUAAAAAUCUAAGCAGACAGAUGGUUCUGUCACAGGAGAGAUUAUACGAAUCAUGGCCGGGCUAUUCACUAAAGGGAGAGAUUAUACGAAUCCUGGCCGGGCUAUUCACUAAAGGGAGAGAUUAUACGAUCCUGGCCGAGCUAUUCACUAAAGGGAGAGAUUAUACGGAUCCUGGCCGAGCUAUUCACUAAAGGGAGAGAUUAUACGAAUCCUGGCCGGGCUAUUCACUAAAGGGAGAGAUUAUACGAAUCCUGGCCGGGCUAUUCACUAAAGGGAGAGAUUAUACGAAUCCUGGCUGGGCUAUUCACUAAAGGGCGAGAUUAUACGAAUCCUGGCCGGGCUAUUCACUAAAGGGAGAGAUUAUACGAAUCCUGGCCGGGCUAUUCACUAAAAAGGGCGAGAUUAUACGAAUCCUGGCCGGGCUAUUCACUAAAGGGCGAGUUUAUACGAAUCCUAGCCUGGCUAUUCACUAAAGGGCGAGAUUAUACGAAUCCUGGCUGGGCUAUUCACUAAAGGGGAGUGUGACAGAACCAUCAGUAUGAUUAUUCAGG